GUGGCUCGCAAUACUUAGCAGGGUUGCACGAGGAUAGUUGCUAAGUUACGAGACCUUUUGGUCAACUGCCACUUUGGCUAAAGCAAUUUUGCCAGCCAUGCCUCAUAUUGACAACGAUGUGAAACUGGAUUUCAAGGAUGUUCUGUUGAGGCCCAAACGCAGCACCCUCAAGUCUAGAAGCAAGGUGGAUCUCACAAGAUCCUUUUCAUUUUGGAAUUCAAAGCAGAUGUACAGUGGCAUCCCCAUCAUUGCUGCCAAUAUGAAUACUGUGGGCACCUUUGAGAUGGCCAAGGUUCUCUGCAAGUUCUCCCUCUUCACUGCUGUCCAUAAACACUACAGCCUUGAUCAAUGGCAAGAGUUCGCUAGCCAGAAUCCUGACUGUCUUGAGUAUCUCGCUGCCAGCUCAGGCACAGGCUCUUCUGACUUUGAGCAGCUGGAACAGAUCCUGGAAACUAUUCCUGAGGUGAAAUAUAUAUGCCUGGAUGUAGCAAAUGGUUACUCUGAACACUUUGUUGAAUUUGUAAAGAAUGUCCGGAAGCGCUUCCCCCAACACACUAUCAUGGCUGGGAAUGUGGUAACAGGAGAGAUGGUGGAAGAGCUGAUUCUUUCUGGAGCUGACAUCAUCAAGGUGGGAAUUGGGCCAGGCUCCGUGUGUACAACCCGGAAGAAAACUGGAGUGGGAUACCCACAGCUCAGUGCCGUGAUGGAGUGUGCUGAUGCUGCUCAUGGCCUCAAAGGCCACAUCAUUUCAGAUGGAGGCUGUAGCUGUCCUGGUGAUGUGGCCAAAGCUUUUGGGGCAGGGGCUGAUUUUGUGAUGCUGGGUGGCAUGCUGGCUGGACACAGCGGAAUCCGGUCUACAUGUACUUAUGUGGGAGCAGCCAAGUUGAAAGAGUUGAGCCGGAGAACUACCUUCAUCCAAGUCACCCAGCAAAUGAAUCCCAUCUUUGGUGAUACAAGCUAGAUCUGAGCAGCUCUGCCCACUGCAGGAUUGGCACUCCACUGCAGGGCAACCCAACUGGUUUGUUGCUGUUCCCAGCUACUCUGUUCAAUGUAUGACUUUGUGACAUCACCUCACUCUUGAGGGAUCCUGCAGUAACUAGUUCUUUUAUCUGCACACAAAAUGCCAAGGGUACUACUCACUGGGGCAGAAGCUAGGAAGAGGACAGAAUGAGGAAAUGAGGAACUUUGAAGU